UACGUAGGUGGCAAGCGUUGUCCGGAAUUAUUGGGCGUAAAGCGCGCGCAGGCGGUUCUUUAAGUCUGAUGUGAAAGCCCACGGCUCAACCGUGGAGGGUCAUUGGAAACUGGAGAACUUGAGUACAGAAGAGGAAAGCGGAAUUCCACGUGUAGCGGUGAAAUGCGUAGAGAUGUGGAGGAACACCAGUGGCGAAGGCGGCUUCCUGGCCUGUAACUGACGCUGAGACGCGAAAGCGUGGGGAGCGAACCGG
rnacentral:rRNA from 1 species